AAGAAAGAGAAGUUUGGUCUGUAUAACUGGUUCAGCAUUCAAAUCAAUGUUAUAAAACAGUCAUUUGUAUUGGUAUAAGCUAGUAUAGUCACUCAUAUU